rnacentral:rRNA from 1 species
UGGGGAAUAUUGGACAAUGGGCGAAAGCCUGAUCCAGCCAUGCCGCGUGUGUGAAGAAGGUCUUCGGAUUGUAAAGCACUUUAAGUUGGGAGGAAGGGCAUUAACCUAAUACGUUAGUGUUUUGACGUUACCGACAGAAUAAGCACCGGCUAACUCUGUGCCAGCAGCCGCGGUAAUACAGAGGGUGCAAGCGUUAAUCGGAAUUACUGGGCGUAAAGCGCGCGUAGGUGGUUUGUUAAGUUGGAUGUGAAAUCCCCGGGCUCAACCUCGGAACUGCAUUCAAAACUGACUGACUAGAGUAUGGUAGAGGGUGGUGGAAUUUCCUGUGUAGCGGUGAAAUGCGUAGAUAUAGGAAGGAACACCAGUGGCGAAGGCGACCACCUGGACUAAUACUGACACUGAGGUGCGAAAGCGUGGGGAGCAAACA